rnacentral:rRNA from 1 species
AGCUCCAAUAGCGUAUAUUAAAGUUGCUGCAGUUAAAAAGCUCGUAGUUGGAUCUCGGGGUACCUGGUCUAGCCGGUAUAGCUCACGCUAAAACUGGUCUGACCCCCCAACGUGAGGUAUUCGUCUCCGGGUGCACUUCAUUGGGUGCUCGUGAGGGGCCUCGUAGUUACUGUGAAAAAAUUAGAGUGUUCAAAGCAGGCUCAUAUGUUCGGAUAGUCGUGCAUGGAAUAACUGAAUUCGUGACCGGCGCCUUUCAGUUGGGCUCGGCGACUGGGCAAAUUGUUAAGAGGGACUGCCGGGGGCAUUGGGAUGGCGGGGUUAGAAGGGAAAAUCUUUGGUCCUCGCCAGACCAACAAAAGCGAAAGCAUUUGCCAAGAAUGUCUUCA